rnacentral:rRNA from 1 species
CAGUAGCCGCGGGGGAAUACAGAGGGUGCGAGCGUUAAUCGGAUUUACUGGGCGUAAAGCGUGCGUAGGCGGCUUCUUAAGUCGGAUGUGAAAUCCCUGAGCUUAACUUAGGAAUUGCAUUCGAUACUGGGAAGCUAGAGUAUGGGAGAGGAUGGUAGAAUUCCAGGUGUAGCGGUGAAAUGCGUAGAGAUCUGGAGGAAUACCGAUGGCGAAGGCAGCCAUCUGGCCUAAUACUGACGCUGAGGUACGAAAGCAUGGGGAGCAAACAGGAUUAGAUACCCCAGUAGUCCCUGUCUCUUAU